rnacentral:rRNA from 1 species
AGCGAACGCUGGCGGCAGGCUUAACACAUGCAAGUCGAACGGGCGUAGCAAUACGUCAGUGGCAGACGGGUGAGUAACGCGUGGGAACGUACCUUUUGGUCGGAACAACCCAGGGAAACUUGGGCUAAUACCGGAUAAGCCCUUACGGGGAAAGAUUUAUCGCCGAAAGAUCGGCCCGCGUCUGAUUAGCUAGUUGGUGAGGUAACGGCUCACCAAGGCGACGAUCAGUAGCUGGUCUGAGAGGAUGAUCAGCCACAUUGGGACUGAGACACGGCCCAAACUCCUACGGGAGGCAGCAGUGGGGAAUAUUGGACAAUGGGCGCAAGCCUGAUCCAGCCAUGCCGCGUGAGUGAUGAAGGCCCUAGGGUUGUAAAGCUCUUUUGUGCGGGAAGAUAAUGACGGUACCGCGAAGAAUAAGCCCCGGCUAACUUCGUGCCAGCAGCCGCCGCUGUAAU